UUUUUUUCGACCUUAUUUCUUUUAUCGAAUGAAGAAUUUUACUUUUUGGACUUAAACCAUUAUUCUUUCCUAACCCAAUUCUCUUUUUACUUAAAAGAGGAACUUCAUUUCAAGCCCAAAUCAUCUUUUUAUUUUUCUUCAUGAGCCCACUUUCAAUCUACAUCCCAGUCACUUUUGAACGCCACUUUUCACUCCACAAUUUCUGUUUCACAAAAUCAGGCUUGACAAGCUGAAAAAUAGGAACAAAUCGGUUUCUACUUACAUAUCGCCCCAUGAUCCCACGUUUUUAUAUCAUACAAUCUUUCUCCACUUUUUCAUUCAGUUCCAUAUCGAUGGAAGCAUUGACAGAGAGUGCAGAGAGAAAAGAAAUUGAAAGAGAGAGAGUUGGAGAUUUCUGAUCGUCUGAAUUGAGAGACGAAUCGAGGGAGAGACGGAAGACAAAUGCAGUGCGGCGACGGCUCCGUGUGGGCAUCGGCGAUCAUGGCGAUUAAAGCAGCCUCGACAGAUCAGCGGCGGCUUUAGUUUUGCAUCACGACCGAGCAGCAGCGGCGACGCGACCUCGGCUUUGGGCUGGAUCGCGCACAGCAACGGUGGGAGGAAAGCAGCAACGGUGACCGGCGGAAGUACAACAGCAGAACAGGAUCCACUCCGAGCUGAACUAUCGUGGAGGAGCGACGGAGGUGGAUGAGAGACCGAGAGGCCAAGGGAGUCAUCAGCCUUGGUAGAGCUGAGCGACGGCGACGGCGGUACUGGAGUUUCACGGCGGCGUUCAGCGGCGAUGCAGCAGCGACGGGGCGACGAGGCUGGGCGAGGGCAGCUCGGUGCCGGCUUCGUGCAGACAUCAACGUUGGCGAGAAAGCGAACCAGCAACCGGAGGUGGCGCUGAAGUAAACGGCGGAGGAGUGAAUUUUGGAAGAGAGACGACGGUAUUGAGGGAUUUCUCAAUUUGGGGGAUUUUCUAAUUUGGGAAGAAAAAGGAGAUAGACGAUGGUGGAGGAUGGGAAGUAUUAUUUGGGCUGCUGUACAAAAAUUUGAUUUGGGCCUAGAGUGAUUUAAUUGGUUGGGCCCAGUUUAUUAAUUAUAGUGGAGCCAUUGAUUUUCUCCAAGGAAGUUUUGCUCGUUGAAUUAUUUGGACUGGAUUUUGAGCUCAAGAAUGAUGGGAACGCGACGAUCGACUCCGAAAAUAAAUGAAGAAAAAGAGAAGCAUGGACUCAAGGAAGGGAAUUCUCCGCGAAUCAAAUUGAGGUCGAAGUAAGGAGUUCAAAUUCAGAAAAAUUAAACAGACGAGGUUUUGCAUAUACACGUGUCGGGAAUGGAAUGAAAAGAGGAGUUAAGGCUUUAAACGAUCGAGGUUGAGCGGUGACGAGCGCGGUGGAUGUUGAGCAUAAAGGUGAAGAAUGUCUAUCAAUGUCUAGAAUAUGUUGUGUCUUCAUACAUAGCAUUAUUAUACUCUCAAAAUGCUUCCGUUAAAUAUUGUUUCUUUUGAUGUUCGUGUAUUGUUGAGAUAUUUUCAUUUGGAGUUGUUGAUUGUUGAAAUGAUACUCUGAUUUUAUUGGAGCUAUUCCCGUUUGUUUCGA